AUUGAACGCUGGCGGCAGGCCUAACACAUGCAAGUCGAGCGAGCGGCGGACGGGUGAGUAAAGUCUGGGAACCUGCCCGAUGGAGGGGGAGAACUACUGGAAACGGUAGCUAAUACCGCAUACCAUCUGAUGUGCCCAGAUGGGCUUAGCGGGUAGGUGGGGUAACGGCUCACCAAGGCGACGAUCCCUAGCUGGUCUGAGAGGAUGACCAGCCACACUGGAACUGAGGCACGGUCCAGACUCCUACGGGAGGCAGCAGUGGGGAAUAUUGCACAAUGGGCUCAAGCCUGAUGCAGCCAUGCCGCGUGUGGGAAGAAGGCCUUCGGGUUGUAAAGCACUUUCAGCGGUGAGGCGUUACCCGCAGAAGAAGCACCGGCUAACUCCGUGCCAGCCGCCGCGGUAAUUC
rnacentral:rRNA from 1 species